GUUGUGGGUUGCUUGGUUAACCCUACAGAGUAUACUUGAAGCUUAUUUGCAUCAACAGUAUUCUGGAGCUGUAAUUUUUCAAUAACUAGACUCUGAGACAUGUAUACAUUGUGGUUCAAAUAGGAAUCAUCCAUAGUCCAGUGCUAGAACAAAUGUAUACAUAAUCCACUCCCCACAAAUUAUCACUCAUUUAUUUUUCCACUGGAAAAUAAGACUAGAUGGAGUCGGUAGGUGAAACAGUUUUGCCGUGCCUAAGUGGAGGCUGAUCAAAACUAAUUUGAGAUCCGCUGCCUUUAAUAGAGCUCCACCUCAGGAAUCUUACCUUUAUAAUACAUCCUAGAUAGGCAAGAGGGAUAUGUCCUGAAAUCUUCACUAAUUCCAAGAUUGCGUGUCAUUUCCCCCAAAAAUUUGCUUAACUCUAUUGGAAAAUCCAAGAGAAUUGCUGCAGCUGCUGAAAACAAGAGAGCUGCAUUAAGCUGCAAGGCCGGGUAGGGUAGGUAGACUGACUCACCACCUAUGGGACCUGCCUCCACACAUCCCUGCUGCUGCUGAUGGACAGGAACUCCUGGACUACCCCCAGCCUCUCCACAAUGUGUCCUGAGAAGAGCUAGGGGAACUGGACAGAGUGGACGAGGCUGCAUGUGUGGAGGGAAUGAAAUAAGGGGCCUACCAGGCCAGAACGCUGAUCCAUGGAGACCAGUGCUUCCAGCCCUCUCACCUCGGAGGAGGACUCCUGUUUUACCAACGGCAGGAGCAGGAAUCCCACCAUUCAGCCUGUGGGCUUGACAAACUAUAAGCAAGCCUCCUGGAUGUGGAAUAAUACAUUUUCAAAAUUCAUACUAAUCAGCAUGAACUAUAACUGCUCCAAUGCCCACCACAUUAUAUAAAAUCUACCAAAAGGGGGUCACUUAAUGUUUCACAAUGUUUGGUGAAACAACUUUCAUAUGAAAGUACGGUUGAUCCUUGAAUGAUAUGGGCACCGACCCCUGAGCAGCUGCAGAGCAAGACUGCGUCUCAAAAAAACAAAACAAAACAAAACAAAAAUCCAUGAACAAGUGGACCUGCCCAGUUCAAAUCAUUGUUGUUCAAGGGUCAAUUGUAUAUUAUUUUCACUGGAAGUUUUGAAAUUCCAGAAAUAUGCUUGGAAAUCCCCGCUUGAAAUCUCCUUGGUUGGAAACCAGUCCAGUGGGUGACUGGCCCAGAAUGAUGCUUCUCCUCGGUGGACCCCCUGGGCUGAGCAGCCUGUGUUCCUGCCUCAACUCCCCUGAACCCUCCUGAACUUUCUACACACAUGUGGGCACUGGCUUUGAUACUGGCAUUUGGAAGGGCACUUGGGAAAUUCAGAGAAGUACCCAUUAUUAAGAUAAAUGAUGUUUUAUCAAUGAAGCAGACUUUUCAUUUCUUUUUAUUGAUCUUCAUGUUUUCACAUCUUGAGAUGCAAUUUGUUAGCACAGGCUGUCAUUCCAAGACACACAAAUGUCAUUAAGGCAACCGCUUAAAGGAGUGUGAUAUUUUAUUGAGGUAGACAGGACAAUAGAUAAAUAUUUAAUCUGUUACAUGUUUGCUCUGUGUGGAGCCAGGGUUGGGGCUGCACAACUCUCUGGCUGCUAUGUGUCUUCCUGGAAACCCUGUCAAAGGCCUUACCGCCUGCCUGGAGAAACACAGUGCCUGCCCUUGGCAAAUAUAUGUUGGUGUAUCUGAAAAACAGCUCCUGGAAGCUUUUUCUCAUUCAGGCUUUAGGGGUUACCCCAUCUUUCCUUAUGUGUGUAAUAUUGGAGAAUGUACACUCUCACUGAACUGGGGAUGUUUGACUUAAAAUGAUGGACAAUAAGAUAGUGAGCAGUAAGUGUGCUCUAGGCUAGGCUACGAGAGGCCAUGAGCUCCUCAUCUCUUCUCUGUUCUGAGCUCUCUGAUCCACUGCACUUGGGGCAGGGGGUGCAUUCUCUGUGCCUCUCCUGAGUCUACUUUCUGCAUCAUUGGUUCUCCCAGCUCACUUCCAUAAUGUCCUCCUAGGCUGCAUUGGAAUUGUGUGUUGUCUAGACCCAUGGCCAAGACUGUCAUUGCCUGUGAGGGAGACCAAGCUCACCACCAAGGGCUUUUGCCAGAUUGCUUUCAUUUACAGAAUUUGCCCAUUCAUGUGUCUUUGUGUUUAUGGAUUAAAUGGCUUU
rnacentral:lncRNA from 10 species